CCUGGAUGUGUGGGUCAGCGCGACCCACCGGGAAUCGCCCUGCGACCCACUAGUGGGUCUCGACCCACACUUUGGGAACCGCUGCUCUAAAUGCUCGACCACUACUCAAGACCGUCCUUUAAGUUCCUAUCGAGCGCACUCCAUAGCGAAAUUCUUUGAGGCCUGCAGAGUGACUGGUGGUUGGGGAGGCGGCCGAUUCCUCGCUUUACAGCACUCCAUUAUUUUCC